AAGAUUGGCCGAAUGAAGAACAAAACCUUACUAUAAGUAGGAGAGAUUUCAUGGUGCAUACAACAUUCAUUUGAAAUGAUUUAUCACAAAUGGAAUGACGAACAGAAAACAUCUCCUGAUCAAGACAUCAUAAGCUCAAACAUUGACCUGUGAUGUAAGUAUGUAUCAACCAGCUCAAAUGGCCGUAGCAAAACGGUUAGACGAUACAAGACAUUUUCUUCAUUCAAGUUUCAGGCUGCCGGAAUGAGAAGAGCCGCAGGCCCUGGAAGAAGGAAAAGGGCUAAAUAACAUCAGGUUGUUGUGAUGGUGACGGCGUGGGCUUCAUUCUCCUUAUGCGGUACGCAGGAUGAUGUGAACCCCGCUCUCGGUGUCGAUGAUGUCGCUGAUCUCCCCCACCUUGAGAGCGUACGUGGCGUCCUCGAAGGGCUUCUGCAUCUGCCUCCUC
rnacentral:lncRNA from 1 species